rnacentral:rRNA from 1 species
GAUGAACGCUGGCGGCGUGCUUAACACAUGCAAGUCGAACGAUGAAGCCGGAGCUUGCUCUGGUGAAUUAGUGGCGAACGGGUGAGUAACACGUGAGUAACCUGCCCUUGACUCUGGGAUAACUGCGGGAAACUGUAGCUAAUACCGGAUACGACCCUCGGAGGCAUCUCCUGGGGGUGGAAAGAAUUUCGGUCAAGGAUGGACUCGCGGCCUAUCAGCUAGUUGGUGAGGUAAAGGCUCACCAAGGCGACGAGGGGUAGCCGGCCUGAGAGGGUGACCGGCCACACGUGGACUGCGACAUGGCCCAGACUCCUACGGGAGGCAGCAGUGGGGAAUAUUGCACAAUGGGCGCAAGCCUGAUGCAGCAACGCCGCGUGAGGGAUGACGGCCUUCGGGUUGUAAACCUCUUUUAGCAGGGAAGAAGCGAAAGUGACGGUACCUGCAGAAAAAGCACCGGCUAACUACGUGCCAGCAGCCGCAGUAA